rnacentral:misc_RNA from 1 species
GAUGAAGAACGCAGCGAAAUGCGAUAAGUAGUGUGAAUUGCAGAAUUCAGUGAAUCAUCGAAUCUUUGAACGCACAUUGCGCCCCUUGGUAUUCCAUGGGGCAUGCCUGUUCGAGCGUCAUUUGUACCUUCAAGCUCUGCUUGGUGUUGGGUGUUUGUCUCGCCUCUGCGAGUAGACUCGCCUCAAAACAAUUGGCAGCCGGCGUAUUGAUUUCGGAGCGCAGUACAUCUCGCGCUUUGCACUCAUAACGACGACGUCCAAAAGUACAUUUUUACACUCUUGACCUCGGAUCAGGUAGGGAUACCCGCUGAACUUAAGCAUAUCAAUAAGCGGAGGA